rnacentral:rRNA from 10 species
UUAAAUUGAAGAGUUUGAUCAUGGCUCAGAUUGAACGCUGGCGGCAGGCCUAACACAUGCAAGUCGAACGGUAACAGGAAGCAGCUUGCUGCUUCGCUGACGAGUGGCGGACGGGUGAGUAAUGUCUGGGAAACUGCCUGAUGGAGGGGGAUAA